rnacentral:rRNA from 1 species
UACAGAGGUCCCAACCGUUGUUCGGAUUCAUUGGGCGUAAAGGGUGCGUAGGCGGCGGGGCAAGUCAGGUGUGAAAUUUCGGAGCUCAACUCCGAAACUGCAUUUGAUACUGGCGUGCUUGAGGACUGGAGAGGAGACUGGAAUUUACGGUGUAGCAGUGAAAUGCGUAGAGAUCGUAAGGAAGACCAGUGGCGAAGGCGGGUCUCUGGACAGUUCCUGACACUGAGGCACGAAGGCCAGGGGAGCAAACGGG